GACGAACGCUGGCGGCGUGCUUAACACAUGCAAGUCGAACGGAAAGGCCCUGCUUUUGUGGGGUGCUCGAGUGGCGAACGGGUGAGUAACACGUGAGUAAACUGCCCUUGACUUUGGGAUAACUCCAGGAAACUGGGGCUAUUAUCGGAUAGGAGCUCCUGCUGCACGGUGGGGGUUGGUAAGUUUCGGCGGUUGGGGAUGGACUCGCGGCUUAUCAGCUUGUUGGUGGGGUAGUGGCUUACAAAGGCUUUGACGGGUAGCCGGCCUGAGAGGGUGACCGGCCACAAUGGGACUGAGAUACGGCCCAGACUCCUACGGGAGGCAGCGGUGGGGAAUAUUACGCAAUGGGCGGAAGCCUGAUGCAGCAACGCCGCGUGCGGAAUGACGGCCUUCGGGUUGUAAACCGCUUUCGCCUGUGACGAAGCGUGAGUGACGGUAAUGGGUAAAGAAGCACCGGCUAACUACGUG
rnacentral:rRNA from 1 species